UACGUAGGUGGCAAGCGUUGUCCGGAAUUAUUGGGCGUAAAGCGCGCGCAGGCAGUCCUUUAAGUCUGAUGUGAAAGCCCACGGCUCAACCGUGGAGGGUCAUUGGAAACUGGGGGACUUGAGUACAGAAGAGGAAAGCGGAAUUCCACGUGUAGCGGUGAAAUGCGUAGAGAUGUGGAGGAACACCAGUGGCGAAGGCGACUUUCUGGUCUGUAACUGACGCUGAGGCGCGAAAGCGUGGGGAGCAAACAGG
rnacentral:rRNA from 1 species